ACACCGUUGGUGAAGUGGUUAUCAUGCUUGCCUUCCAUUGUAUAGUGUUGCAUUCUUCAAGCAAGCGGCUCGGGUUCGAUUCCCGAACGGUGUA